rnacentral:tRNA from 1 species
UGUUCCGUGGGCUAAUUGGUUAUAGCACCGGUCUAGCAAAUACGGAGUCGUGGGUUCAAAUCCCACUAGAACGC